AAUAGCAGCCUAAUUGCUAUCCAAGUGCUUUUAGCAGGAAACAGCCACACCUAGAGAGGCACCUGUGCAGAGGAAGAUUAGUUUCAAGCGGAGGAAGGACAGAGAUGGAAAUGCACUUUCAGCUGAGCACAGUGGAAAGGCAGACUGAGGAAAUGCACUUGCCAGAAGAUCUGCACCUCUGAAGGAGACUUUUUCCUUGCCCUUCAUCCAUGGAAGAAUAAUUAAUGGACCUCAUUUCACACACCACUUCCUCAGCUGAACUCUUGCUGUAGAGCUCAGGGUUCAGGUCUUCACAAAGGUAACCAGGAAAUGUUUCACAACAUCCCUGACUCACCCAUGUGUGAUACACAAUGGAAUCUAUGGUCACAGAAAUUUGUACCUCGCCUUGUACCAGAACGCGGUAUUUUAAACCCUGCACUGUGAUGUCCAGGCAAAACUCAGGAUUAAGGCUGCUCGCUGCCCUUAAAGCAGGUUGUUUGCUUCCACUCACAGACUCUGGACUGCAGAGAAAGGUGGUCAUAUUAUAGAUAAUGACCUCUCAUAGCCCUAAGGAGCUCUAGAAUAUGACUGCUAAGGUCAACUGUAUGAACAGAAGACCUGUUUUUUUAAACUGAAGUGUUUGAAUCAGCUACAUCACUCUAAAGGAAAGACUGGGAGGGGGCCAUAUCUCUGUAUCUCCCCAGUUACAUCCCACAACUUCUCCACAGACCCAGCUGUAUCUCCAGCAUGAAGCACGAGCUCUCCUGAAGAGCAGAAGCUGCUUGAUCACCACCUUGCUGCCCUCCAGCUGUGGCUAAGGAGAGGACAGAGAAGAGAGAUCUUCAGCAAUUCUGUUGCUGGCUUUCCUGACAAAGCAAUGUGACCUCUGGGAAGAACUAAGCAGGUCUGACACAGCAAUUGAAGGGCACUCCCCACCCAAUAUGCAGCUCUUAGAGCAGCCCGAGAAAGAAGAAAAACUACCAGCACCCUCAUUCACAACCCUGUCAGCUACAUAUUGAUACAAUCUGUGGUGGUAGGCUACGGUCCUCAUGAAAUAACGUGGAAGAUGGAGGAGAGGGAGAGGGGACUUUGUCCUGUCAUCAAAAUAUGAUUGUUAUAAAACCAUUUAGGAAUUGAGAACUUUUUUUACCUGCAGAUUGGAAGAAAUCAUCCUUUUGCAAUUUUUCUCACUUCUCCAGCCCUCAGGCCCACAACCACAGAUGAUGAUUGGACCCGCCUGCUGCAGGUAGCAUGGCUCAUGUUUAAAGGCACAAAGGUGAGAGGAACAGUUUAGACCUCUUGAUAUUUGCAUUAGUGAGGUAAGACAUAUGUUCUAAGAUUUGCUCAGGAAUGGACACCUCACCCUUGAACUGCUUCUUCGGCAGAGCACAUUCCAGUUCCUCAUUGCCUCCUGAGGUAAAUGAACUCAGCAUUGCUCAUAAAAUUGUAGAAUGAACUUUCCCAUGACCAGUGAAAUUUGUUAUAAACAAGAUAGUCUCUGAACUCCAGUCAACAAAAGAGAGGCAGAGCGACUGUAACAAAUACAGUAUCCACACACCAGCCUCUCUACAUGCAGAAGGACACAAUACAUUCAGGGAAAACAGCUUCUCACCUUUCUUCCACAACAGCCUUUUCUUCAAUGAGUGAUUGUGUAUCAGAUUCCUUUGGGAGGCUGGCUGUUUAAAGUUUACCUGACAAGGGAUUUUUGCACAGCCAAAAGAUAGUGUGCAGGGUGUUUCUUUCAGGAGAUAUUUUCUGUAUAACAAUAUAAAUCUGAUCUUCAAAUUUUAUGGGACUGGCCUUGAGAAAACCUAAUAUUCCAAGCCAAAAAUAACUUAUCCGAGUUAAUCCAUUUUAAUAAAAAAAUCUUUCCUUUAUUUGCCAAAAUAUAUAGCUCUGAACUGAUUUUAAAGCAUCUGAAAUGUUCAGUGCUUAAUUGUUAUGCAAUUCUUAAAUCCUUCCUCUCCUCCCCAGCAAGCUGUCAUGAGAAAUACUCUUUGUUAGCUGGGAUCACCUGUUUCACAUACGCUGUCUCAGUUGUCAAAAUGAUAAAAAGUAAAACCUUCUGCUGACAUGUAUAAGGAAAACGUAGCAUUUCAGCCACAGAAUAGCUCUUUGUUUUAUAUCAGCCUUCUAAUUAUUACAAAAUUUUAAGAGGAAGAGUUAAAAAGAAAAUAAAAAUCAGUCCUUCCAGGAGAAGAUAUGGAAAAAAAUCCUUUUAUUUGGAUGUUAUGUCCUCUGGGAGCUUAAGGAAUAGCAUAAGUGAAUCACCAGGGGAAAAAAAAGGUGGGUUUACUUAAUCUUAGAAGAGGGUAAUGAGGUGACCUUCUGAGUUCCCACCCAACCUUAAAUUAUUCUGUGAAAAUUAAUGGCUUUAAACUCUUAGAAAACCAGUUAUUACUUUAUGCUAUUUGAUAUAUAUUGUGGUAUUAUUUUAAUUAUAAUAUCUGGAAAUAUUGUAUUAUUACAUUAAACUUUAUGUGGUUUUAUAUUAUAUAUAAUCAUACACCUAGUAAAUCAUGUAUUUAUAUAUAUAAUUAAGAAUUACAAUUACUUAAUAUAAUUUAUUUUCAAAGUUCACCUCAUGCUCUAAAAUAUUGUUGUGAAUUAAUUAGAACUG